rnacentral:rRNA from 1 species
GCCUGCACGAAGUUGGAAUUGCUAGUAAUCGCGGGCAGCAUACCGCGGUGAAUACGUUCCCGGGCUUUGUACACACCGCCCGUCAAACCAUGAAAGUUGGGAACACCCGAAGCCUGUGAGCUAACCGCAAGGGGGCAGCAGUCGAAGGUGGGUUCAAUGAUUGGGGUUAAGUCGUAACAAGGUAGC